rnacentral:lncRNA from 1 species
ACAUGGUUUUAUUCCUUAUCGUUGUCUCCCAAAAUAUGUUUUACGGUGAGUGUUUGCAGAAUCACCGCGCCUCGGCAGGGUAAAUUCUGCUGGAGGUACCUUUGUCCUGAUUUCAAUCAGUGCAAUUCAGUCCAUGAAAAUAUUCACUCUCUGAAGAACAAGCUGGAACUGCCUAUCACUUUGUGGAAGACUCUUCAAAGAAGAAAGAAAUCUUGUGUUUCGUAGAGCUAAAAGAAAAAAAAAUAUUGCAUGGAUAGAAGCAUGUAUAUGAUUUUUUUCUCUUUUCUCUGUACAUAUUUACACUUUCAUUUUUUUUAUUGCAGUAGGUCUUACGGCCUACUGUCUUGCCCUCAAAAAAAUAUUUCUGCUUACUCAAUCCGUUUUUCACGUUA